CAGCUGGAGAACAUUGAGAAGCUUACAAAAGCACAAAGCAAAGUACAGGUAUGUUGGAUCAAUAACAUACAAUGGUUUUGUCCUCACAGGUAUAUGAAAAUAUGUUUUGCAUGUGUAAAGAAAUUAAAAAAAAAAUUUUUUUUUCAUCCCUUACAGCUCUGGCAUGAUAUGCGUAGAGUGCGCAUUACAGCAAGCACAGCUAGAAAAGUGCCAAUUCGCUCAACCACCUCACCUGAGAAGUUUUUAUCAGAGCAUCUAUAUCCAACCUUCCAUGGCAAUGCUGCAACACGCCAUGGAGCAGUGAGUGAAGAACACGCAAGGCAAUUUUUAAAUACACAAGGCCAUACCAUUGAAAACAAAGGCCUUGUGGUGUGCCCAGCCGAACCAUGGCUCGCAGCAAGUCCAGACGGAGUGAUGAACAAAGAGAUGCUGCUGGAGAUCAAAUCACCUGUGCUGGGGAAGAAGUCGCUCAGAGAGGCACUGGCUACGAAGAAUGCUGAAGUCACACCCCUAGCCGACGGACAUUACCUCCUUGCCUCCAAUGGUCCUAAAGGCUACUACAUGCAGGUGCAACUGGGCAUGCACUGCACAGGGCUUCCACGUGCAUUGUUGGUGAUCUGGAACAACACUGAACACAUAGAAAUCCAAGUACCUUAUGACAAACACUUCCUUCAGACGCAUAUUACAAGGCUGCGCACAUUCUACUUCACUCACAUGCUUCCUAAAAUCGUUGAUGAUUUUGUCAAGGGGCGCUUACAGUUGUGCAAUACAUAUCUCACUCUUAAAUAAGCAAUGCACACAAACAACUUUCAG